ensembl:lncRNA
CAGCUGGGUGCAGUUGACUUCUUCUUGUCUGUUUCGUAGUGUGCAGAUAGCUGCUACAGUGUUCACAGUUUACAUGUUUGGUGUACAGUCACCAUGAAAAUUGCUAUUUUUGUGCUGUUUGUGUGCCUUCUUCUUCCUGUGCAGCCUGAAGAGAUAGAUCACUGUAAGUAAACACUACAGUCACCUUGGUUUCCUCAGUCAUCAGAUAAUAUGUAGUUCGGUUUCUGCUGAAGAGUGCCUCUGUUAACUGUUCUAUUAUUAACAGACACCUACUGUGAGACUUGUUUAACAGUGGCACAAGGUAUGUUGGACAAUAAAUCAUUAUGGCUAAGAGCUUUUUUAUUAAUGGUUUCUGAUAACCCAGUAGCACAAUCUAACAAAUGGGAUAGCCAGGAAUACAAAUAGAAAACAAAAGACAAAAGAAAAGGGGAAAGCAAGUCACAGUCUAUAAAUACCUUACAGAGCUUGAGAAAUCCAUCAAGGAAGCCCCAGUUAAGAGCAGAAACACAGUUGUUAAACGCCUCAUCAGUGGGGCGUUGUGUGAGAAACCUCUGCCUCACAGUCACCAUGUCUCUAAGGACAAACUGACAUCAGCCUGCAGACACUUGUUAGAGUCUCACCGUGGCCAGUUCUAUGAAGCUCUGGUGAACAAAGAGCCGAAGAAUCUGGAUAUAGCUCUGUGUUAUGAGCAGUCCAACUCAUGUGUGGGGGUUAAACGCCAGACUUUUGAGGAUUCUAAAGGCGCUUUUACUGAAAGUGACAUUGAUGCUUUACUUCGGGACAACAAGGAAAAUGUUCGCAUUGCUCAGCCGAUACAUUCAGGUUCCCCUGUGCACACAGGAGAUGAACUCUGAGAAUUUCAGCAUCAUUUACUGUUUACUACUGUAAAUUCUGGACAUCAGUAAAAUAAAUAAAUCACUAAAAAAACAUAAACCAAUAAUUUUGUCUUUAAAUUAUACCUUAUGCUGUGUUGAGUUGUUACUUUUCUAAAGAAUUUAUUCAGCCUCAGAUAAGGAGUGUAUAUUCAUUAAUGAACAAAUUAUAUAAAAUUGAUAAAGGGGAAGUUUAU